rnacentral:rRNA from 1 species
AUUGAACGCUGGCGGCAGGCCUAACACAUGCAAGUCGAACGAGUGGCGGACGGGUGAGUAAUUUCUGGGAAACUGCCUGAUGGAGGGGGAUAACUCCUGUAACCGGUAGCUAAUACCGCAUACCAUCAGAUGUGCCCAGAUGGGAUUAGCUUGUUGGUGGGGUAACGGCUCACCAAGGCGACGAUCCCUAGCUGGUCUGAGAGGAUGACCAGACACACUGGAACUGAGAAACGGGCCGGAGUCCUACGGGAGGCAGCAGGAGGGAAUAUUGCACAAUGGGCGCAAGCCUGAUGCAGCAAUGCAGCGUGGAUGAAGAAGGCCUUCGGGUUGUAAAGUACUGUCAGCGGGGAGGCGUUACCCGCAGAAGAAGCACCGGCUAACUCCGUGCCAGCAGCCGCGGUAAUAC